rnacentral:rRNA from 1 species
GCGUAGGAAUCUGCCCAGUAGCGGGGGACAACUCGGAGAAAUCCGAGCUAAUACCGCAUAAGCCUUACGAGGGAAAGAUGGCCUCUUCUUGAAAGCUGUCGCUAUUGGAUGAGCCUACGUCGGAUUAGCUUGUUGGUGGGGUAAAAGCCUACCAAGGCGACGAUCCGUAGCUGGUCUGAGAGGAUGAUCAGCCACACUGGGACUGAGACACGGCCCAGACUCCUACGGGAGGCAGCAGUGGGGAAUAUUGGACAAUGGGGGCAACCCUGAUCCAGCAAUGCCGCGUGUGUGAAGAAGGCU